GGGAUACAAUCGAUAUCUUCUUAUGGAU
rnacentral:piRNA from 1 species